GGCCGCGCCCCGCCCCUCCCGCCAGGUCCGGGGGCGCCAGCGGGCUCCGGGAGCCUGGGGCUGCUGAGUUCCUGUCUUCCGUGGGGCUGCGGCGAGACUACGUCCCAUAGCCCCGCAGCCCGGCCUCGGGGCAGCCAUGGACUCGCAGGAGUUGAAGACUUUGAUUAAUUACUAUUGUCAAGAGAGGUAUUUCCAUCAUGUGUCACUGGUUGCCAGUGAAGGAAUUAAGAGGUAUGGAAGUGAUCCAGUCUUCAGGUUUUAUCAUGCCUAUGGCACAUUAAUGGAAGGUAAAACUCAAGAAGCUCUUCGAGAAUUUGAGGCUAUUAAAAAUAAACAAGAUGUAUCACUUUGUUCUCUGAUGGCACUGAUAUACGCCCAUAAAAUGAGUCCUAAUCCAGAUAGAGAAGCUAUUCUGGAAUCAGAUGCCAGAGUGAAGGAGCAACGUAAAGGAGCUGGAGAGAAAGCUUUAUACCAUGCAGGCUUAUUUUUAUGGCACGUUGGUCGCCAUGAUAAAGCGAGAGAAUAUAUUGACAGAAUGAUCAAAAUGUCAGAUGGCAGUAAACAGGGACACAUUUUGAAAGCAUGGCUUGAUAUUACAAGAGGAAAAGAUGCUUACACUAAAAAAGCACUGAAGUAUUUUGAAGAGGGACUCCAAGAUGGGAAUGAUACUUUUGCUCUGCUGGGUAAGGCACAAUGCCUGGAGAUGAGGCAGAAUUAUUCAGGUGCUCUGGAGACUGUGAACCAGAUAAUCGUGAACUUUCCCAGCUUCCUUCCUGCCUUUAUUAAGAAAAUGAAGUUACAACUAGCCUUGCAGGAUUGGGACCAGACAGUUGAGACAGCACAAAGGUUGCUGCUCCAAGAUAGCCAAAAUGUGGAAGCACUGAGAAUGCAGGCACUCUACUAUGUGUGUAGGGAGGGGGAUAUAGAGAAGGCUUCCACUAAACUGGAAAACCUGGGAAAUGCAUUGGAUGCCAUGGAACCACAGAAUGCUCAACUUUUCUAUAACACUACCCUCGCCUUCAGCAGAACUUGUGGACGUAGUCAACUCAUUCUUCAAAAAAUUCAAACGUUACUUGAGAGAGCUUUUAGUUUAAACCCUCAGCAGUCAGAAUUUGCUACAGAACUUGGAUACCAAAUGAUUUUACAAGGAAGAGUUAAAGAGGCACUGAAGUGGUAUAAGACCGCCAUGACACUUGAUGAGACAAGUGUGCCUGCACUAGUUGGACUGAUCCAGUGUCAAUUAAUAGAAGGGCAAUUACAAGAUGCAGAUCAGCAGCUAGAAUUUUUAAAUGAAAUUCAGCAGUCCAUUGGAAAAUCUGCGGAAUUAAUCUAUUUACAUGCCGUUCUUGCCAUGAAGAAAAAUAAGCAACAAGAAGACGUUAUUAAUAUUUUAAAUGAUGUCCUGGACACUCAUUUUUCACAAUUAGAAGGUUUACCUCUAGGCAUACAAUACUUUGAAAAGCUAAAUCCUGAUUUCUUGUUAGAAAUUGUUACGGAAUAUCUGAGCUUCUGUCCAAUGCAACCUGCAAGUCCCGGGCAACCUCUUUGUCCACUUCUCAGGCGUUGUGUCUCAGUCCUGGAGACUGUAGUAAGAACCGUACCAGGUCUUCUGCAAACUGUCUUCCUCAUAGCAAAAGUGAAAUAUUUGUCAGGUGACAUUGAAGCAGCUUUUAACAACCUUCAGCAUUGCUUAGAACACAAUCCCUCUUAUGCCGAUGCUCAUCUGCUGCUAGCUCAGGUUUACCUGUCUCAAGAAAAAAUCAAAUUGUGUUCUCAGUCUCUUGAACUUUGUCUGAGCUAUGAUUUUAAGGUGAGAGAAUAUCCUUUAUAUCAUUUGAUAAAAGCUCAGUCACAAAAGAAAAUGGGAGAAAUAGCAGAUGCAAUUAAAACACUGCAUAUGGCAAUGAGUUUACCAGGAAUGAAAAGAAUUGGAGCUUCCACAAAAUCAAAAGACAGAAAAACUCAAGUUGAUACAAGCCAUCGUUUAUCGAUCUUUCUUGAACUGAUAGAAGUUCACCGCUUAAAUGGAGAGCAGCAUGAGGCAGCAAAAGUUUUACAAGAUGCCAUCCAUGAAUUUUCUGGAACAUCUGAAGAAGUACGUGUUACCAUUGCUAAUGCAGACCUGGCCCUGGCCCAAGGAGAUACUGAGCGGGCUUUAAGCAUCCUUCGAAAUGUUACAUCUGAACAGCCUUAUUUUAUAGAGGCCAGAGAAAAAAUGGCAGAUAUUUAUCUAAAGCAGAGAAAAGAUAAAAUGUUAUAUAUCACUUGUUAUAGAGAAAUUGCUGAAAGAAUGCCCAACCCUCGGUCUUUUCUUCUCCUUGGUGAUGCAUACAUGAAUAUUCUAGAGCCUGAAGAAGCCAUAGUAGCAUAUGAGCAAGCAUUAAAUCAGAACCCAAAAGAUGGAACACUGGCAAGCAAAAUGGGGAAAGCACUUAUCAAAACUCACAACUACUCAAUGGCGAUCAGUUACUAUGAAGCUGCUCUGAAAAGUGGACAGAAGAAUUAUCUUUGCUAUGACCUGGCUGAGCUCUUACUAAAAUUGAAAUGGUAUGACAAAGCAGAAAAAGUUCUUCAACAAGCUCUGGCUCAUGAACUUGUAAAUGAACUGUCAGCUCUCAUGGAGGAUGGACGUUGUCAAGUUCUUCUAGCAAAAGUUUAUAGUAAAAUGGAAAGACCUGGUGAUGCAAUCACUGCAUUACAGCAGGCUCGAGAAUUACAAGCUCGGGUACUAAAACGUGUUCAGAUGGAACAGCCAGAUGCAGUUCCUGCACAGAAACGUUUAGCAGCUGAAAUUUGUGCAGAGAUUGCAAAACAUUCUGUUGCUCAGCGAGACUAUGAAAAAGCAAUUAAGUUUUAUAGAGAGGCCCUGGUUCAUUGUGAAACAGAUAAUAAGAUUAUGCUGGAACUGGCACGAUUAUACCUGGCACAAGAUGACCCUGAUGCCUGCCUGCGGCAGUGUGCUGUGCUGCUUCAGAGUGACCAGGAUAAUGAAGCUGCCACCACGAUGAUGGCUGAUCUCAUGUUCAGAAAACAAGACUACGAACAAGCAGUGUUCCAUUUACAGCAGCUUUUAGAGCGUAAGCCAGAUAAUUAUAUGACAUUAUCUCGUUUGAUUGAUCUCCUAAGAAGAUGUGGAAAACUUGAGGAUGUUCCAAGAUUUUUCUCAAUGGCUGAGAAGUGUAACUCCAGAGUGAAAUUGGAGCCAGGAUUUCAGUAUUGUAAAGGACUAUAUCUUUGGUAUACUGGAGAACCAAAUGAUGCCCUUCGACAUUUUAAUAAAGCUCGGAAAGAUAGUGACUGGGGCCAAAAUGCCCUUUACAAUAUGAUAGAAAUCUGUUUGAAUCCGGAUAAUGAAACAAUUGGAGGUGAAGUAUUUGAAAAUCUGGACGGAGACCUGGGUAAUUCAACUGAGAGGCAAGAAUCUGUCCAGUUGGCAGUGAGAACAGCAGAAAAACUUCUUAAGGAACUAAAACCUCAGACUGUUCAGGGUCAAGUACAGCUUCGCGUAAUGGAAAACUAUUGCUUAAUGGCUACCAAACAGAAAUCUAAUGUUGAACAAGCAUUAAAUACCUUCACUGAAAUAGCAGCAUCUGAGAAGGAUCAUAUCCCAGCACUCUUGGGAAUGGCAACGGCUUAUAUGAUCUUGAAACAGACUCCACGAGCCAGAAACCAGCUGAAGCGUAUUGCAAAAAUGAAUUGGAAUGCUAUUGAUGCUGAAGAGUUUGAAAAGAGUUGGCUGCUACUUGCUGAUAUUUACAUUCAAUCAGCAAAAUACGAUAUGGCAGAAGAACUAUUAAAACGGUGCCUGCGUCAUAAUAGACCUAUCCUGACAUUCAUGAGAACUUCUCCCUGUUCCACCCUUAAAACGCUGAGCUUUCGGGACCCUGCCUGGCUUGCCAUCAUGAAAUGGCCUCGCUGUCUGGGUCUUGCUGCAAAGCUUAUGAAUAUAUGGGAUACAUUAUGGAAAAAGAGCAAGCAUAUACAGAUGCUGCCUUAAACUAUGAGAUGGCAUGGAAAUAUAGCAAUCAGACAAAUCCAGCAGUAGGAUACAAACUGGCAUUUAAUUACUUAAAAGCAAAACGAUAUGUGGAUUCGAUUGAUAUAUGUCACCAGGUUCUUGAAGCACAUCCAACUUAUCCAAAAAUCAGAAAGGAUAUACUUGAUAAGGCCCGUGCAUCUUUAAGACCUUGAAAAUAAUUUUAACGUAGGUUGUUGGUUUAACAGGAAAUAAAAGAAAUCUUUGAGUUCUUCCUGUUCAAACAGGUUUGAGCUCAAUGCUUUGUUAUUAGAAGUAUACCCUUUUUCUCCAGCAGAGGUUGCUGCUGUACAUCAAGAGAAGUACUCUGAAAUUGGUGUUUUCUAAUGGAGUUGAAUGAGAGCUGGUCUGUUUAACUCUUUGAUUAGGUACAGAUUUGAUGACUCUGUGAUAAAGACUAUAACCAUUUAUAUAAAGAAAAUUUUGUUAAAAUCUGGGUGAUUAAAUACCCUGUAUCUUUUCUAAGAAUAUGUAUUUCAGGAAAUAUAUUUAAAAUGCAUUGUUCUCUGUUAAAAGUG